rnacentral:piRNA from 1 species
UACUCUCUCUCAGUACCUCACAAAACCUC